AGCUCGCUUGGAAGCAACCGAGUGUCCUGGUGGUACUGACAGAAAUCUUCAUGUCCUCUGAGGAGGGGGAGGCAAGUCACUGGCUGAUCUCUGCCUUUAGUCUGCAGUUAGUGAGAAAACUGGGGGGCUUCAGGCUCCGAUCAGGUAAUUUAAGAGCUGUUUUCCCCUUGGUGAAGAGAGCUUUGUGCUCAUAAAAUCUCCUCUUCCAGUUCCUGGAAAUGCUGGAUUGGGCAAUGGUUAAUAAUUACAGAGCAAGUUUUCCUAGUGGCGCACAGAAACUCAUGAUGCCUUCUUGUUUCUUGUUCGUCUCACUCGGCAGCCUUUGAUGUGAUCCACGCCCCGCACCGUGGGUAGGAUUUUCCUGUUUCUGCUCUCCACUGCCCAGUGAGGGCUGGCUUCCCUCCUGUUCGUGUUUUUGGAAUCAAGAAAACAACAAACUCACCUCUUCCAGCCAAAACACAGCUCUGUGAAAUCACGUCCGUAGUAGGGGAAGCAGCAGUGCGUGUCUGAGCCCAGUGGCUGCGUCCCAUCUCUUCACGGCGGGAUGAAGGCGGCUGAAGUCUGGAUCCUGUGCAAGCAGGUGUCGGACCAGACCUCACAGUUAGAAGUUGAUUGGUGAAUGUGCCUCACAAAUGAUGCUGUACAAGAACGGAGCUGCUCCUGGCUUGUGCAAGCACCUUGCCAGGAACGUUGAGUGGCUGGUGGAUAACUGGAUUGAUAAAUCAGAUGAAGCCGGAGUGGUAGAACUGGAGAAAAUGUUUUUUGGCUGAUGGUGAGGUCGGGUAACAGCUAGGAUAGCAGGAAUCAAAAUGAAGCCUGUUGUACCCGAUGCUGGACUACGAGUGCUGCCAGUCACUCCUGCUUAAUUAAUUACUGCUGUACACGUUAUGCUUGACCUCUCUGAGGAAGAGCAUGUGUUUGCAUCUUAAUUAACAAAAAUGUUGCAUCUGUCACAGUGAGGGAAAACAACAUCUGAGCUGUGGGCAUGGGGCUUCCCUGCCUUGAGCUCACAGCCAGUCAGACAGUCACCUGCAAUUUGUCUGACAGGAAACUGAAGCUGUGAUGGGAUGUAAUUGAAAAAUACAGUUCCUGUCACUGCCAGGUGAGCAGCAGUCUCCAGGCUGUGCCAAAUCUGACUUCUUCCCAUCAAGCAAGGUGUUGCUGCACCAGUGUAUGUGAUCUGGGAAACCUGGGGUCCAUCCCUACCGGAGCAGAGAUCAGCUAUGAGUUGUUUUGGCCUCUUGGAUUAGAUAGCUAAUCUGCAUGAUGGCCAGGUGGUUGAGGUUUUAGAGGUUUUGGAGGGGAAAAAUAGGAUGCCCCCCUCCCUAUCCAUACAUAUUCCUUGUACAUCCCUGCUCAGCCCAUCUGUUCGUUGCCUCUGCAGCUGGACCCAGAACUGACUGACCGCACAGCAAGAGCUGCAAAUCAAAAUGAAGAGGAUGAAAAAGGACUUCAUGGAGCAAGUACUUGAUGCACGUGGUGAGGAGAUCCCAGAUGUGAAGAAAAAGCAAGUGGCUGAGGAGAAGCAGGAACUGGAAAGGAAAUUCUCCUGUUUGAGUGAGGAGGUCAAUGGGCUGAAAAAAAAGAACUUGAGGACACCAAGAGAGAAAUGGCUCCUGCUGCUGCACUUCCAGGCACGGCGGGGAUCGUCCAGCCACCACCAGCACCUCCGCAGCCUCCACCAGGAGUGGCCGUUCUCCCCCCUUCAGCUGGCCUUGGAUUCAGGGCAGCCUCCGCACCUCAGGUGCGUCCAUGGGGAUUGUCCCCACAGCGGGUUUGUGAGCCAGCAGUACGGCUGCAGAGACUUGGUUACUGGACCAAGCAAAAUGAAGACUUUUGCUGGCUUCUGAGCAGAUGAAAGAUGUGGCCUUGUUUUCAGAACCAAGCGAGGUCUGCAAAGGGCAGUGAGAAAACAAGAGACAGAGGCAUCCUUGAGGAGACCACAGAGAUCGUCAGCUGCUCAAGCAGGACUUUGUGCCUGGGCAAAGGCAGAAGCCAGUUGGACUGCCAGAUUUUUGUUUUCCAGCUCCCAUGGCCAACCUUCAGUGUGCCCCUGAAGAGGACUGGAGGGCCAAAAGCUGUAUCCAAGGGCAAGGCCAUCAUCUGCAGCCCUCCUGGUCUUGGGGUGAGCAAAUAGAGCAGAGGGUAGAGACAGAGCCCGGCACCCCCAGCUCUUUUUGGGGUGCGGAGCAGGGGUGCUGCCUCAAUCCCGACCUGUUUGGAUACUUCAGCAUGCGCUGCUGAGCCGGGACAGCCCCAGCUCUGCUGCUGCGGGCGGCUCCUCCAGCAGUGCAGGUGGCUCCUGCCCUCUUCCAUCCUUGCCUCCCUGUGGGGGGAAACCCACAGGUCAGUUAACCUGGGCUCAUGCUCCUCCGAAUGCUGGAGCUUUGUUGCGUUGGCACCUUCUGGUGCACCUUGUUUCCUUCGUGCAGGGAAGGAAGCCGGGGCUGGAGCAUCGCACUGUGCUCAGCUGCAUGGGCACCAGGGGGCUGCCUGCCCAGACCCCCAGCCCCAUGGCUGGAGGAGCUGCCCUGCAGGGGCUCUCCAUCCUGGCACAACACCCGGGCUCUGCUCUGCUCAUAUCCCCCCUUGUCAGCACCUUCUGUGCCCUGCAUCCGUGGUGCAGCUCCCAGGCGCUGCGUUUUGUUGUUGCUUUAACUCAGCAUAUUUGUAGCGGUGAGGUAAUGGAGCCAUCCAUAACAGCCUGGCUGCUGUCGCACCCAAGAGCAGAAAUGUUCCAUCCUGCGUGGCCGGGGCUUGGCAGGCGUGUGCGGUGCGGGGUCAGGCGCUGGGCAGGGACUCAGGCUGCCCGCGGGGCACUGCCUGCUCCAGGCUGUGGGUCUGCAGAGCUUGUCCCCUCACGGUGCUUCUGGCUCAGGUCACGCUAAGCCUCCUAGCUUUUACAUUUGACUCUAAUUUUAGUACACUUAGUAAAGAAAAACACUGUUUUUGGGUCAUUCUGGGUCUUUCUGGGGCUUGUUAGCCCACUAUGGGCUGCAAAUGCUGAUAAAGAUUUGGGACAGCACGGGCAAGCGCAUGUCCCUCCCUGAGCCAGGUGAGCCCGUGCGGCAGCAUGUGCGCUCAGUCGGGCACUUUGUGCAGGGCCUGACGUCUGCUCACUGCUUCGCUUCGUGUCCAUUAGCUCUGUCCUGGUUCAGGUCCCAGCUCUGGCAUUACAAACCCAGCGGUGCGUGAACCGGGGACAAUAACAGCUGGGGAGCUGCUGCGCUGCGGAUGGGCCCUUGGGAAGAGAGAGACGUGCCUGCAUGCAAGAGGUUUUCACUUGAAAGAGGGAAACGCGGAUUGCAGAGGGGGGAGGAAGGGCUGCUGCUCAGCCUCCAGCAGCAGAGGGGCAGCAGGGUGCUGAACAGAGGUGGUGGCACCGCCACGCUCAGGGCUGGGUGCUCCGUGAGCCUGCUAGAAGCAAGGCUUGGACCCUUCCCUUGCCAGCCACUGUCCCCGGGGAGGGAUGAGGGGGGUCAAAGAUUGCAGCUCAGGCAUUGUGCUCUGUUUUCUCGGUCCUUGGGGCAUUGCAGGGCUGCCAGACGUCUCACCCUCGGGUCAGGGCGGCAGCGGGCGCUGCCGGGCUGGUGACUGCGUGGGCAGGGAGGAGUUGCCCUUGCACAGCUAAAUGCCAGUGGCUGCAUUGGGCAGCUCCAGGAAGUUGCAAAAUGAGAGAGACAUCAGGAUAUAUGAGCUGGAGUCUUGCCCAAAGGCUUUCGUUUAAUUGUAAUGGUUCCUUCUAUAUAAAGUCACUUUUUUUUUGUGUGGCUUUGCAGCUGUGGACAAUCGAUGCUGUGGCAGCAUCGUGAUACCAUCAGGGUUUACCAAUGCAGCUUAUGUAGAAAUAAACAUUAUUUUUGGUACAAAAGAAAUGUGAUCUUGAGCGUC